GACGAACGCUGGCGGCGUGCUUAACACAUGCAAGUCGAACGGAAAGGCCCUGCUUUUGUGGGGUGCUCGAGUGGCGAACGGGUGAGUAACACGUGAGUAACCUGCCCUUGACUUUGGGAUAACUUCAGGAAACUGGGGCUAAUACCGGAUAGGAGCUCCUGCUGCAUGUUGGGGGUUGGAAAGUGUCGGCGGUGGGGGAUGGACUCGCGGCUUAUCAGCUUGUUGGUGGGGUAGUGGCUUACCAAGGCUUUGACGGGUAGCCGGCCUGAGAGGGUGACCGGCCACAUUGGGACUGAGAUACGGCCCAGACGCCUACGGGAGGCAGCAGUGGGGAAUAUUGCACAAUGGGCGGAAGCCUGAUGCAGCAACGCCGCGUGCGGGAUGACGGCCUUCGGGUUGUAAACCGCUUUCGCCUGUGACGAAGCGUGAGUGACGGUAAUGGGUAAAGAAGCACCGGCUAACUACGUG
rnacentral:rRNA from 1 species